rnacentral:rRNA from 1 species
UACGUAGGUGGCAAGCGUUGUUCGGAAUUAUUGGGCGUAAAGAGCGCGCAGGUGGUUGAUUAAGUCUGAUGUGAAAGCCCACGGCUUAACCGUGGAGGGUCAUUGGAAACUGGUGAACUUGAGUGCAGAAGAGGGAAGUGGAAUUCCAUGUGUAGCGGUGAAAUGCGUAGAGAUAUGGAGGAACACCAGUGGCGAAGGCGGCUUCCUGGUCUGUAACUGACACUGAGGCGCGAAAGCGUGGGGAGCAAACAGG